rnacentral:tRNA from 1 species
GGCUCAGUGGUCUAGUGGUAUGAUUCUGGCUUUGGGUGCGAGAGGCCACGUAGUUCGAUUUCCGUCUGAGCCC